GACUCGCGCUCUCUCGCAUACUCGGCACAACACUGGCCGAGCGAAGAGCGAGUUGCUGCGCGCGCGGCGGCACCCCGACUCUCUGUGUCUCUGUCUCUGUCUCUGUCCUGCUCUCAGUCUCUCGGUGUCUCUCUAUACUCGAUAUCUCUCUCUCUCACUCACUCUCUUUCCUUCUCUCUCUCUCUCUCUCUCUCUCUCUCUCUCUCUGUCUAUUCCGCCUGUCUCGCGAGUGUUGCCUACGCGGGAUGCAGAGCAUCAGGUAAAUAGUGCGCGGCGUUGAGUACCGCGAGUGAGUGAUUCGCAGAUUGGACGCGUAUACAGAAGAGAGAGAGAGAGAGAGAGAGAGAAAGAGCAGAUCGCAAGGGAGCGAGGAAGGAAUAUAGUCAUGUCCAGCUGCUGCUGACGACGAGGGGAUACUCGUCCGCGGCGAGGAGCGACGAUCUGUGUAAUAUGCGGCCUAGGACGAGGAGCGGAGCGCUGCCGCUACUCGUGCCGCUGCAGCAGCAUCAGCAGGCCAGCAGGCGCCGCCGCCGACUCUCCUCAAGCUCGACUCUCUAACCAGUUCUCGUUCUUCUCUACUAUCCGAGCCCGCAUCAUCAUCCGCAAGCAGCAGAAGAGUAGCAGUAGCAGCAGCAGCAGCAGCAGCAGCAGUACAGUCGGAUAGAACAUCAGCGAGUACCGGCACCGCUGGGGCUAUGCUUAGGGCAGGCGGCGGCCUGUCGCUGCUGCGCUUACGGCCUCGAGGAGCCAAGCUCUGGGGGACGAGUGCAGCCGAGCCGACGCCCGGGCCCGGGCGGCUGCUCCGCCGCUAGCUCCUCCUCGUCGUCGUCGUCGUCGUCGCCGUGCUCCCUCGUCCGCACCGAGACAAGCUCGACCGAGAGGCCCGCGGGCGAUGUGCCCAGCCCGAGGAAGCGCUACGGGUGGACAAGGCGUACGAUGCUCAAGGAUGCUGGGACGGACGGCGGUGGGAAAGGUUGGUGGCGAUGGCGGUCCAGGUUAGGCGGUUUUCUCGCAAUGGCGACGGCCGUCUCCUGUCUGGCUGCUGUAUUUCCGGCUGUCGAGGCCAAUCCCGAGGCGAAGCGUCUCUACGACGAUCUGCUAUCCAACUACAACCGCCUCAUCCGACCCGUCGGCAACAAUAGCGAUCGUCUCACUGUCAAGAUGGGACUGAGGCUUUCCCAGCUGAUCGAUGUUAAUCUGAAGGCACAGAUCAUGACAACGAACGUUUGGGUGGAGCAGGAGUGGAACGAUUACAAGCUCAAAUGGAACCCGGACGACUACGGGGGCGUCGACACUCUGCACGUACCAUCCGAGCACAUAUGGCUGCCUGACAUCGUACUCUACAACAAUGCGGACGGCAACUACGAGGUCACGAUAAUGACCAAGGCGAUACUCCACCACACGGGCAAAGUGGUGUGGAAGCCCCCGGCCAUCUACAAGUCCUUCUGCGAGAUCGACGUCGAGUACUUUCCCUUCGACCAGCAGACCUGCUUCAUGAAAUUCGGUUCCUGGACGUACGACGGAUACACGGUGGACCUGAGGCACCUCCUGCAGGCGGAGGACUCGAACGAGAUCGACGUCGGCAUCGACCUGACCGACUACUACAUCUCGGUCGAGUGGGACAUCCUGGAGGUGCCGGCGAAACGCAACGAGAAGUUCUACAUCUGCUGCGAGGAGCCCUACCCCGACAUAAUGUUCUACAUAACGCUCAGGCGCAAGACCCUCUUCUACACGGUCAACCUGAUAAUCCCCUGCGUCGGCAUCUCAUUCCUCUCGGUCCUCGUGUUCUACCUGCCCUCGCACAGCGGCGAGAAGGUCUCGCUUUCGAUCUCGAUCCUCCUCUCGCUGACUGUGUUCUUCCUCCUGCUCGUCGAGAUCAUACCGUCGACCUCGCUGACGGUACCGCUGCUCGGCAAGUAUCUCCUCUUCACGAUGGUCCUCGUCACGCUCUCGGUCGUCGUGACGAUCGCCGUCCUCAACGUCAACUUCCGCUCGCCGGUCACCCACAAGAUGGCGCCCUGGGUGCGCGUCGUCUUCAUCGAGGUGCUGCCCAAGUUCCUGUUCAUCGAGCGGCCGAAGAAGGACGAGGACGAGGGUAACGGGGCGAACGGGCCCAACGGCUCCGAGCCCGAGGACGACGACGACGACCUGAACAAGCCGCCCGAGGCCAUCCUCACCGACGUGUUCCACGUGCCCGAGACAGACGGCAAGUACGACGUCGACGAGUACUGCGCCGACAAGAGGUACAGCGAGUACGAGCUGCCGGGACUGCCGAGUCUGCCGCCGUGCCUCAACCUGCCAGGCCAGGCGGUCAGGUUGGACUUUUCGGUGCCGGUGGACGAGCAGCUGCCGCCGAGUCUGCCUCUGCCCGGCGCCGACGACGACCUCUUCGGCCCGGCCAGUCCUACCUACGUCACUCACGACGACCUCCAGGUCAGCCCGACCUUCGACAAGCCCAUGCUCAGGGAGAUCGAACGGACCAUGGAGGACGCCAGGUUCAUCGCGCAGCACGCCAGGAACAAGGACAAGUUCGAGAGCGUCGAGGAGGACUGGAAGUACGUGGCGAUGGUGAUCGACAGGAUCUUCCUCUGGCUGUUCACGGUGGCCUGCGUCGUCGGCACGGCCUUGAUUAUCCUCCAGGCGCCAUCGCUCUACGACACAACCAAGCCCAUCGACAUAAAGUACAGCAAGAUCGCCAAGAAGAAGAUGAUGCUGCUCAACAUGAACUUCGAGGACAACUAAAAAGUAUAUAUUGUUAUACACUGCUCACAUAAUCCACCGCCACACAGAGUCCUCGUCAGUUCCUCAACAACGUCGGGGCCGCAUAUGCCUCUCCUCCUACGACAGACAGCUACACACUGACUACAUGAACUGCACGUAAGCAAAGACGAAGAGGAGAGCGAGGCUGAAGAUUAUAAAUGAGAGAGGGACAAAAGUGCCAAAUACCGCGGCAGAGCGCGUACCGUAUUUUUAUAAAUCUGGUUUCAUACGUAAGGCUAGAAGAGUCGCGCCGCGCGUGCUCGGCGCGCACUAUAAAGUCGAGAUUUAAAGAGUUAAAAAAAAAAAAAAGAAUUAAUUAAUUAAAUUAAAUUAAACGACGAUACGAAGGGAGUGUAGAGCGCGAGAGAGGCGAAAGAGAAAGAGAGCCGACGAGCUCCGGGGGUUAAUUAAUUGAAGAAAGGAAGAAGCAGAAGAAGGUGACGACGAUGAGAAGACAGAGCGAGAGCGAGAGCGAGCGAAAUGAGAAAUAAUAAUAAUUAAUAAUUAAAGAGAUAAGAGAAAUACAGAAAUCCCGAACUGCCGAUUUUAUAAGAGAGAUACUCGCGUUAAGUUUACGUACAUA